GCUUGGCUCUGUGCCUCUUCGCCUUCAUUCACUCGACUGAACGCAGACCCAGCACGGGCAGGCGAACAAACAAACGAAGGAGCGAACAAACGCUAACCGCUCUCAGGGUCCCUGCACGGGGGCCAGGAGCUAAUGACAGGGCUAACAGCUAUUUAUCCUAAGCCGCAGAGGUUAAAAAUGCGCAGAGGAAAGCCCUUAUUAAAUGGGUCGUGGCCCAGAAAUGGGAUAGCACUUGAAAAAUAGUAAGAGAGGCAGCUGUUUCAUGUCGGGCUGAUGAUGUGACAGGCGGAAGUUGUUGAUGCAACAAACAAGCAAUCUGCAGGCAAUGUGGAGCACCAUGCCCAAGGCAGCCAGUAUAAUAGAGACAUAAGAGGGUUUCAGGUGGAAACACACAAAGAGAGGAAGAAAACAACAACGAUGGAGAGAAGGAGAGUGGAGUGAGAGAGAGAGAGAGAGAGAGACAAAAGCACUCCUUUAUUAAACCAGUAGCUCACACUGUGCCAUCAAUAAACCAUUAAAACAUGCCCAACAUUACACUUUUUGGUUGCCAUCCUUGUUUUCAGGAGACAGAAAGCACAAAUAUGAGAACCUUUACCCCACACUUUAAAAAGUCGUCUCCAAACCCCCCCCCCCCCCCCCCCACACACACAAAAAAAGGGACAGGCCAAAAAAAAGAGAGAUGUUGGUGGAUAAAUUAUUUGUCAAUAUCACAAUCAACUUGACAGUCAUUGAGUAUCAGAGAGCUGUGUGUACCAUCCCUCAUGCUUUGACUGGAUCACAAUAGACUGGCGAGGCGCUCGUGCUUUUGGCGGAGCUCAAUUGUGACAGGCUGUGUUUGUCUGUGUCCAGCACCCAAUCAUUUGAUGGCAAAUUACAAGUUGUUUCACUGUAUCCUGCUGUUGGAGGUUUGGUGAUGAUGGGAAUGAAUUAUCUACCUUCCUUGAGGACAUAUUCUUCUGCCCUGGAUGUGGGUCAGCUGGUGAAAAGCCUCUUGAUCUAUCCAAAUGCCACCCUGGAUGUCGGUUACAACCCACAGCGAAUUGGAAACGGGAAUAUAAAAAUAAAAAAAAUGGUCAAGGAUGCAGAGACAAGGCCAGGCAGCCAUGGGUUGUCAGGGAGACAAGUGACCAAUCAUUAUGAAGAGAGAGUCAAGGUCGCCAAAGGUUAAGUGUGGAAUUGAAACGAGUCUUUUCAGUCACGGCAU
ensembl:lncRNA